rnacentral:rRNA from 1 species
AGUGAACGCUGGCGGUAGGCCUAACACAUGCAAGUCGAACGGCAGCACAGUAAGAGCUUGCUCUUACGGGUGGCGAGUGGCGGACGGGUGAGGAAUACAUCGGAAUCUACUUUUUCGUGGGGGAUAACGUAGGGAAACUUACGCUAAUACCGCAUACGACCUACGGGUGAAAGUAGGGGAUCUUCGGACCUUGCGCGAUUGAAUGAGCCGAUGUCGGAUUAGCUAGUUGGCGGGGUAAAGGCCCACCAAGGCGACGAUCCGUAGCUGGUCUGAGAGGAUGUUCAGCCACACUGGAACUGAGACACGGUCCAGACUCCUACGGGAGGCAGCAGUGGGGAAUAUUGGACAAUGGGCGCAAGCCUGAUCCAGCCAUACCGCGUGGGUGAAGAAGGCCUUCGGGUUGUAAAGCCCUUUUGUUGGGAAAGAAAAGCAGCAGGUUAAUACCCCGCUGUUCCGACGGUACCCAAAGAAUAAGCACCGGCUAACUUCGUG